AUGUGGCAGAGGGUUUAUGAAGGGCUGAUCUCUCCAAAAGUGCUUCACUCUCCAGCUGGAGACAGACGUGCCUACAGGAGCUUGAAGUCCUGUGUUCUACUUCCAGUGAAGGCUGCUUUUACCCUGGACGAGGAAUCCAUACUGUUUUACUUUCUGCCCCUCUUUGGCUUUCUUCCGGAUGAAGAAAUAUGCCCUACACCUGCUGAGCACAUCACACCAGCCAGGUUAAGUGGGAUUCAAGGGCCCUCCAGGAAGGACAGCCAAGAUUUUUGAUUCAACACUGAAUAAGGAGGCACCUGGAAAAAUAAGGUAGGGGAAGAGUUAAUCAGGAGUGGAAGGUAGGGUCUAUUUAGAGGUGGAAAAAGAAAUCCAAUAUGUAUUGGUAUUAAUGAAAAAUAUGCUUUAACUUUUAUACAAAUAUGAAGCAUGGAGCUAAAUAUUACAAAUUACAGGUUGUGAGUCUAUGUCAGCUUUAUUAUUGUUAUUACUAUUAAUGCAAUGAUAUCAAACCUAAGGGGUCACUGUAUUUGUUUAAUUUGUUUUCUGGGAAAGCUUAGCAUUUCAUUUCUAAGUGAGGACCUUUCAUCUGGCCUCUUGGUGACUUGCCCACACUGGCGCAAAUUGGACUCCACCUCUCCCGGGACCUGUGAGCUCCUUAGCAUUCUCUCCUUCUGAUCCUUACCAGGCUUGACUCUCCUGGCUUUACCCCUCACUCCACUCCUCAAUCAACCACGGGUCUCACUUCCAUUAGGAAGUAAUACUAUAAUACUGGACUUUUCAUGGUGGCUUGAGGUAGCUUGAGGAAAAGGGAUGCCGAGAAAAGGCUUAACUGUAGAAUCACUUUGUGCCACAAGGUGUUAAAAUAUGUCUGAAUGCUGACCUUCUGGGAGGUCACGUCUUUGGCUCGGGAAAUAAGGACAAUCUGUUCCCAUACACAACAGUGCAGACUCAGGUGAGGAAAAAAACUUUGUCGUGGGGACAUGUUGCUGUUUUCUUCUGCCCAUGCUCUGUGGUUUUAACUUUGGAGGGGGAGGGCGAGGGAGAGAGGGAGAAAGAGACCAUCUCUCUCCUCCCCCACUCCCAGCAUUAUUCAUUAGGAGAGGAUUUUUUUUUUCCUCCUUUGGACAGGAAACUUCUCUCCUCUCACUAGCCAGUAACAACCCUUCUGUUCAUCCUUAUGUCAGACCCUCACAACUGCACUAAUAUGAUCUCUGACAAUUGGGAGGGAGCAGGGAGAGGGUUGCAAGGACCGCUCAGAAGUCUGGAGAUAGCUCAGGGUCUUCUCGGAGCAAGAGCUUCUCCUGACUACCUGUCUCAUGCCAGGACUGGGAAGUUGAGAUCUGUGUGCUGACCUCAGGCCACAGGCUGAGAGAAACCUGAGAAGUGCUUUAAUCAGAAUCGUCUUGGCCUCAGUAACUGCCCUCCUUUGUUUCCUGUUCUCCCUGAGGCUUCUUGGCACUGCCAGUAGCCAUGUUGCUUUUGCUCCAGCUUUGUGAGAGGAAAGUCCCAGGGAGCCCUGAGAGACCCCUUUGUGCUCCAAGCCAGUACUACCCACCCACCACCAGUCUGUAGCCUGAUGAAUGGAACUGAGAUGAUAGGAUGAGGGGGAUGCAAAAGGGCGAGGUCAUGCUGGCCAUGUUGACUGUUGGCAAAAAACAGGCACCAGAAAUGAUGACGUCAGGUAAGUACUCUAUAGUUUAGAGGUGGGAGUGGGGGAAAGUAAGGGAUCAGGCUUGGAAAACCCUCAAGCCCUCCCUAGCUGCUUCCCCCAACCUUCCUACUUCUCAGGACUUUGCUGAGAUGGACCCAUGGUGGACUCGAAUGCCCUGCAUUUGUCUGUCACCCCUGCCUUGGCAGAGGAUUAUCCCUGCAGUUGUCACACCAUUUGUGAUGGCCUGUGAUUCCCCUGCCAUUGUGGUGGUUGAUAGGGAUGAGCAUUUUAAAUAAAGAAGAAAAGCAGAGACCGUGACCA
rnacentral:lncRNA from 12 species